GGGAAUGGCGCUGGGAAUGGGCACUGGGAGCACUGGGAAUGGCACUGGGAAUGGGCACUGGGAGCACUGGGAACGUGCACCGGCAGGCGCCGCGCCGGCACCCCCUGCUCCGGUACCGCCGGGAAUGGUGCUGGGAAUGGUGGGAAUGGCACUGGGAAUGGUGGGAAUGGCACUGGGAAUGGUGGGAAUGGCACUGGGAAUGGCGCUGGGAAUGGUGGGAAUGGGCACUGGGAGCACUGGGAAUGGCACUGGGAGCUGAGUUUGGGUGUAGAUGGAAUUUUGGGUACCUGGUUUGGGACUUUGGGAGGUGUAAACUCAAUUUUGGGUGCUUGGGGUGGAAUUUGAGAGGCAUAAACUCAAUUUUGGUUGCUUGGGGUGCACUUCGAGAGGCGUAAACCCAAUUUUGAGUGUGCAAACUGAACUUUUUGCCAGCCCGGCGCCGCCGGCGCCGAGCCCACCCUCGCCCCCACGCCCCCCCGCUGCCUCCCUGACCCCCAUUCCCGUUUUCCCCCAUCCCAGGAGCGCGUGCAC
rnacentral:lncRNA from 1 species